rnacentral:misc_RNA from 1 species
AAAAAAAAGGGCUUGUCCAAACGUCAUUUAACCAGGCCAUACACGACUCUUCUCCUUAAAUCAUUCUCAUUUCUCAACAACUAGCCAAUCUCCAUCUCCAAAGCGCAUUCUUUCAUCUUCACUCACGCAGAAGCCAUGGGAAGCGCCACUAAGGGGAGAACCACCAUUGACGUUGGAGCUGAUGGUGUAGCGGUCAUCACCAUCAUCAAUCCUCCUGUUAAUUCGCUCUCUUUCGAUGUGCUAAAAAGCUUGAAAGAUAGUUUUGACCAAGCCUUAAGAAGAGAUGAUGUGAAGGCAAUUGUUGUCACUGGUGCGAAGGGUAAGUUCUCGGGUGGCUUUGAUAUUACUGCAUUUGGUGGAGUUCAAAGCGGAACUGUGGAUCAACCAAAGCGUGGUUUUAUAUCAGUUGACAUUCUAACUGACACUGUAGAAGCUGCAAGAAAACCUUCAGUUGCUGCCAUUGAUGGUCUUGCCUUAGGUGGAGGAUUAGAGGUUGCAAUGGCAUGUCAUGCACGUAUCUCAACUCCCACUGCACAAUUAGGCCUGCCUGAACUUCAACUUGGAAUAAUUCCUGGAUUUGGAGGAACACAGAGGCUUCCACGUCUUGUUGGUAUAACAAAGGCUCUUGAAAUGAUGUUGACAUCAAAACCAGUUAAAGGUGAAGAAGCUCAUGCUUUGGGCCUUGUAGAUUCUGUAGUUUCACCAAAUGAGUUGGUGAACACUGCACGUCAAUGGGCCCUUGAUAUCUUGGAACGUAGGAAGCCAUGGGUUGCUAGUCUUUACAGGACUGACAAGUUAGAUUCCCUCGGAGAAGCGAGGGAGAUAUUCAAAUUUGCAAGAGCACAAGCUCGGAAACAGGCUCCUAAUCUCAAACAUCCAUUAGUUUGCAUUGAUGUUGUUGAAGAGGGUGUAGUUUCUGGUCCUCGGGCUGGACUCUGGAAGGAGGUUGAUGAAUUCCAAGUACUUGUUCAUUCUGACACCUGCAAGAGCUUGGUCCACAUCUUUUUUGCUCAGCGUGGAACCACAAAGGUUCCUGGAAUUACUGACAAAGGCUUGAUGCCUAGACGAGUGAAUAAGGUUGCAGUGCUUGGCGGAGGACUAAUGGGUUCUGGCAUAGCAACUGCACUGAUCCUUAGUAAUUACCAGGUUAUCCUGAAAGAAGUAAAUGAAAAGUUCUUGCAAGCUGGAAUUGAAAGAGUCAGAGCUAACCUACAAAGCCGUGUCAAGAAAGGAAAAAUGUCUCAAGAGAAGUUUGAAAAAACCUCUUCUCUUCUUAAGGGUGUUCUUGAUUAUGAAAGCUUCAAAGAUGUGGAUAUGGUCAUAGAGGCUGUUAUUGAAAAUAUUUCUUUGAAGCAACAAAUAUUUGCUGAUCUUGAAAAAUAUUGCCCACUACACUGCAUUCUUGCAAGCAACACCUCCACAAUUGACUUGAACUUGAUUGGCCAGAGGACUAGGUCCCAGGAUCGGAUUAUUGGAGCCCAUUUCUUUAGUCCGGCUCAUGUCAUGCCACUCUUGGAAAUUGUUCGUACGAACCAAACGUCUCCUCAAGUAAUUGUGGAUUUACUAGAUGUUGGAAAGAAAAUAAAGAAGACUCCUGUUGUGGUCGGGAAUUGCACAGGAUUUGCUGUCAACAGGAUGUUUUUCCCCUAUACACAAGCUGCCAUUUUGCUAGUUGAACACGGGGUGGAUCCUUAUCAGAUUGAUAGGGCAAUCACUAAAUUUGGAAUGCCAAUGGGUCCAUUCCGGUUGUGUGAUCUGGUUGGUUUUGGUGUGGCAAUUGCAACUGGCAUGCAAUUUAUUGAGAAUUUCCCUGAGCGAACUUAUAAAUCAAUGCUCAUCCCACUGCUGCAAGAGGACAAGAGAGCAGGGGAAACUACUCGCAAAGGGUUCUAUUUGUACGGCGAUAAGCGCAAAGCUAGCCCAGAUCCCGAAUUAAGAAAAUAUGUUGAGAAGGCAAGAAGCAUUUCUGGUGUUUCCAUUGACCCCAAGCUUGCUAAGUUACCUGAGAAAGACAUUGUGGAGAUGACAUUCUUCCCGGUAGUGAAUGAAGCCUGCCGAGUCUUUGCUGAAGGAAUUGCCGUUAAAGCUGCAGACCUUGACAUUGCUUCUGUUAUGGGCAUGGGCUUUCCUUUUUACAGGUCUUUGUUUUUCCUUAGCUGAACGGCUUUCCCUGAAGACUUAACUGUCUCUAAUUUAUUGAUGUUGCUUGCACCAGGGGUGGUAUUUUGUUCUGGGCUGAUUCUCUUGGAUCAAAAUAUAUAUAUUCAAGAUUGGAGGAGUGGUCAAAGAUGCAUGGAGAAUUCUUCAAGCCCUGCGACUUCUUGGCUGAAAGAGCUGCCAAUGGUGCUCCACUGGUGAGAUAUCUAAAAUUAUAGUUUAUUUUAUAAUUCAAACGAGAAGCAAAAUAAACUGUUAUAUGAUGCCCCAGAAGAGUUGUUUAUGGGCAGUUUUGUCUAUGCCUAUAAAAGUGUAGAGUUAUCUGGGUCUCACCUGUCUACAUGGGCAAUUAUGCUAAUUUGAUUUAUGCGUUGCUUGGUACAGUCAUAUCUAGGCAACUAUUUAGCACAAUAAAUUAUAGAAAAUGCAAAUUUGGUGAAUUCUGAACACCGACAUUCUUGUUAUCUUCUGUACCAUUGUGAAACUUUAAAGGACAAAACUAGAGAAAUUCGAUGAUUACUUUGUUUUUAAUAGGGUAAAGCAUACUAUGUAGAUAAUCACCAUUGGAAGAAUGAAUGGUGAUUCAUCUAAUGGUAAAAACAACAAAGUGCAAACCAAGGGAAUAAAAAACUAUGUAAAUGGUUUAAAUGGGAUCAUGGCCUUAGUUUGACCAAUGAACAAAUUGUCAAAUGUCAAUAGUUUACUAUCAUAAGUGUUACUAAAAUUUCAAAUCCAUAUCGCACAUCUCUAAUGAUGUUUGCACCGUCUUGUUGCAGAGUUCUCCGGUGGAGCAAGCAAAAUCUAGGUUGUAAGAUUAAUUUGAUAAUUGCAUUGCCAACUGUUCAUAUUUUUUCCUGGAUUUUCUCUCAUCUUUUCCUUCGCCAAUUGCUAGCUAGUAAUAAUGCAUGGCAUGGCAAAAAUGCGAACGGUAAAGAAUACCUAAGAAAUGAGAGCUUAGGUGAUAGUAUUUUAUAUGCAGCCCAUUUGGAUUUUUAAUGAAUUCUAUCAUACUUAGCAUGAUUCAUUUACAAAUGUGGAAUUAAAAUCUAAUGUCUAUGUGCUAUGGCAUUAGCAUGUGAUAGUUCUUAGUGGUGCAGUUGUUAGGAUUGGCGAUAGACGUGGUGCAAAUAGACACGACGUCGGAUUUUAUGAUAACAAAAUUUUGUGUUGGUAUGCAUAACGGGAUAUUUCACAGUAAGUGUGAGAAAUCGGAGG